CUGACCGCGGCGUGCGUGCGUGGGGGGCUGCGCGUCCCUCUCUUGCGCGGGUGGCCUUCACCCGCUGGCCUGGUGUCUGUAUGACGGUGGGGCUGAGUCGUCCGCUUAGGGCACGUGCCUUCGCCGCGGUGUUGGGUUUGUUCCGUGCGGCGAAUGCUACCUGGUGUGGAGAGAGGCCGCGCUCUCCAUUUUCGCUGUCCGCCGUUCGCCUCCUUCGCCCCACCACGCUUCGCAUCCUGUUCGACUCGGACUGACUGACCUUCUUCGCCGCCGGUGUGCAUAGCCGUUGUGAUGGCGUUUGUGCGUUCGAUCGGUGCUGCUGGUUAAUACCAGUUUCUUCCACCGCUGUCUCCUGCGCCCGCCGUCGCGCCGUUCUGCCUUUUGCAUUGAGGUCGAUGGUGGGGUGGAUGGGCAGGGGAGGCGGGCGACGAGGGCAGGCAACAGUCGGCCCGUCGCGAUGUGGUGAAGCUACAGGGAAGAGGGAGGAGGUCGGCGAUAGGGUGAAGGAGUAGGCCGGCCCUCGUGGAGGCUGCGCUGCCGGCCGGCCAGGGAGGCGGCCCGGCUCGCCUCUGCCUCCACCCUCACCUCCUUUUCCAUGCCUCUUCCUCUGCAUAGUAGCAUGUGCGAGGUUGCGGGCACAGGCAACCAUGGGCAAAUUUUGGGGAGACGCCAAGAUGAGCUUCCCCUCUGUUCCAUGCCCUAAUCUCUCUCUAAAGAUUUGUGUAGCCUAAAUGUCUCUGUACCGUGUAAGCAGGCCCAACCUAAUGCACACCAUCGGCCUGAUGAAUGACCAAAUGAUUUGUUUUUGUUGCCAUAUAGACUAUUGACUGGUGUGUAGGAGCCCUUCUAAUUGGUGUUCUAUGUGUGUUUUCUUUUGUUCUGUUGCAGAAUAAUAAUUCAAGUGGAUGGCCGAUGAGUCUUGUUGUUUAGCGGUAUGAUGGUCGGUGAAAGUAUGUUCUAUGUAUAUUGCAAGAUGAUUUCUGUUGAAGCCGAGCCAAUUGAGAUCCAAGAGCCUCCUCCAUCUUACCCUCCUCACCAAGGAGGUCGGAUUGAUCUAGGAUCUUUUUCCUUAAUUUUGAGGUCCUCCCUUGGCCCCUCUACUUGGCUCUCCUCUGUCUUGUUUCUCCUCUAUAAAAAAAUAUGGAAACUACCACGAGAGAUAAUUGCGGCUUGCUGCUCUUCGCUGCAGAAUAUCACAAAGAAGUAUAUCAGUUGGCAUCCUCCCAGAAGAAGAGAAGUCAACAUACAAAGAAAAAAUCAUGGCCAAACUUUUUUAAACCAUAAGCAACUUGUUAUGAUGUGAUGAUACCUGGUCAAGCUUUUCUCAUUUUUCUGAAAACUCAUUUAUCAAGUGAAUCUACUAUGCCAAGGAAGUAGGGAGCGACCAAUGGUUUCACUUAUUGGAGGGGAGACGCGGAAUCAGCGCACUGCCUGACCCCAAAGGCUUGAGGGAGCGGGUCUCCUGUAGGGAAAUAGCAAGCAUUGCAUAAUUUCCUUUAAAUAAUCAAAUCUCAAUUAAAUCAAGUAUAUGACCAUGUAUUUUUAUCAAAUAAGCCAGAAAAAAAGAAAUACAACACCACAAAACCCCUAGAAGUGUCAUAGAAAUUGUGCUUCAGAAUUAUUUGUCAAUCCCAUGCAGCUAUCUUGCCAUGGAAAUAAUCUCAUAUCAAUAUACGUUCAGAACUAUAUCCAUCAUAGCGUCCUUCCAGCUUCACUUACAGGCACCUGCUUGUUAUUUACCCAACUAAUAGUUGUUGCUUGGUAAUAAAGAAAAGAUAGCUAGAUAAACAAUUAGUCCAGUAGACCAUAUGCUUAUUGUUUUAUACACACUCACUUCAUUUCCAAAUAAUCUUUUAUGCAAACUCGCUUGGUACCUACAUAAGAAAUCAACAUUAUCAGUUUCUUGUGACUAUAACUCAUAGUUGAGGUAAAGGUGUACUCACCAAGUCUGGUGGUAUAUUUUAUCUAUUAUUUUUUUGCCUUUAGAAACUACUCGUUGAUGCUGUGGAGUAUGGAGUCGUUCAAACAAAUGUAUAAAAUGUAUGGAUAUGGUGCUGGGUGAAACUAUAGUACAUGAUGUGGAAGGUCUCCAUGGAGAUUCAUAGAUCAUUGCUUAAAUUCUCAAAAUGAAUCUUACUUAAAUUCCCUGGUUAGAUUCUUCAGUUGCAGGAAAAGUACUACUUGGUUCUUCUCUUUAACUAGAGUGCUAUUGUGAAUUUGUGAUAGUCAUUUUUCAUCUACUGUGUCUCAGGUGGAUGUUCUAAAAGCUGCAUUUUCUCUGAUAAAAAAUAAUGUGUUUCAUCAAACUUUGCUGGGGGACCACAUGCAUAUUAAUUGUGCCUGUUCUGUAUGGUCCUUGAGAUAGAACUUCAACAUCUGUCUCUCAUGUUUCUGCAUCUUCUAUCUCUUCUGAAAGUAUCCAGGACCUGCCCAAGAUGCAGAAACAUGGACAUCGAAUAAGUUUUCUGUUUCAAUAAAUCCGCUUGAGCUUUCUCUACACUCAGGAUCAACCAGAUUCCACUCUUACAUCUGUUUAGCACUUCAUUUCCAUGUGCAAUUCCUUGCUUUGACUUGUCUCAUAACCAUAUUGAGUCCUGUCUAGACCAAACAUGUAUCAUAUAAUACCUCCUGUUACAGUAUCGUUGAAACUUAAGCGCUGACUGUAGUGCGAUCACCCUGUGUGUAAGCUUGCUGGUUGCGCCAGCAGAAAAUUGUAUCAGCUCUGUCAGACCGUAGGUGAUGCUGAGUGCUGAG